UCAGAUUGAGCUAUUUAUAAAACUGUUCAAACCAUGUAGUUCUCUAAUGAACAUUUGUUUUAAAACAUAGUAUUCGCAAAUUUGUUGAGUUUCUUAUGUAGAUAUCAUCCAUGUUUUCCUUUAUUCAUUAAAAAAUAUUCAUAUAAUUACCUAAUGAUAGCAAUGACCGAUCAUAACAGGUGUGGCCAUUGGAGCAGGAUGGCAAGCGUUGGUUGCAUAUGUGAACAUUGGUUGCUAUUAUAUAUUUGGUAUUCCCCUAGGCCUUAUGAUGGGUUAUAAGCUUGAAAUGGGAGUUCGGGGCAUUUGGUAUGGAAUGUUAUCAGGCACUAUGGUACAAACACUAAUCCUAUUCUGGAUGACUCAUCGGACAAAUUGGAACAAAGAGGCUUCAAUGGCUGGGAUAAGGAUAAAGAGAUGGGGUGGUGAACCAGAAGUGAAGACAACGCUUUAGAGAAGUAAAAUAGUGGGCAAAAUACGGCACACGGCCGGUAGCCUUCAGGAGUUCUCUUUAAAGCUUUAAUUAUUUUAUUUCUAGGAGUAGCAAACAAUGUUUAACAAACUUUUCAUUCCGAAUUCUCGAAAAGGAACAACUUCCAAGUAUCAUUACUUGUAGAUUAUGUAUUGCUUAUUAACUAUGAUUUUUUGGUAUCAAUAACUUGAGAUUUUUUGGACUUAAUUGAUG